rnacentral:rRNA from 1 species
AGCAGCCGCGGUAAUUCCAGCUCCAAUAGCGUAUAUUAAAGUUGUUGCAGUUAAAAAGCUCGUAGUUGAAUUUCGGGAUCAAUAUAUUGGUCGUGCCUCCGGUAUGCACUGGUAUUAUUGAUUUCUACCUUCUGACGAACUGUGAUGUCAUUAAUUUGGUGUCAUAGGGAAUCAGGACUGUUACUUUGAAAAAAUUAGAGUGUUUAAAGCAGGCAUUUUGCUGAAUACAUUAGCAUGGAAUAAUAAAAUAGGACGGCAUGGUUCUAUUUUGUUGGUUUCUAGGAUCACCGUAAUGAUUAAUAGGGAUAGUUGGGGGCAUUAGUAUUCAAUUGUCAGAGGUGAAAUUCUUGGAUUUAUUGAAGACUAACUUCUGCGAAAGCAUUUGCCAAGGAUGUUUUCAUUAAUCAAGAACGAAAGUUAGGGGAUCGAAGACGAUCAGAUACCGUCGUAGUCUUAACCAUAAACUAUGCCGACUAGGAAUCGGACGAAGUUAAUUUUAUAGUGACUCG